UACGUAGGGGGCUAGCGUUGUCCGGAAUCAUUGGGCGUAAAGCGCGUGUAGGCGGUUCGGUAAGUCCGCUGUGAAAGUCGGGGGCUCAACCCUCGAAUGCCGGUGGAUACUGUCGGGCUAGAGUGCGGAAGAGGCGAGUGGAAUUCCUGGUGUAGCGGUGAAAUGCGCAGAUAUCAGGAGGAACACCGAUUGCGAAGGCAGCUCGCUGGGACGUCACUGACGCUGAGACGCGAAAGCGUGGGGAGCAAACAGG
rnacentral:rRNA from 1 species